rnacentral:rRNA from 1 species
GCAACAGCUCAAAUUUGAAAUCUGGCUCCCUUCGGGGGCCCGAGUUGUAAUUUGGAGAGGAUGCUUUGGGCGCGGCGCCUUCCGAGUUCCUUGGAACAGGACGCCAGAGAGGGUGAGAGCCCCGUACGGUUGGACGCCUAGCCCGUGCAAAGCUCCUUCGACGAGUCGAGUAGUUUGGGAAUGCUGCUCAAAAUGGGAGGUAAAUUUCUUCUAAAGCUAAAUACUGGCCAGAGACCGAUAGCGCACAAGUAGAGUGAUCGAAAGAUGAAAAGCACUUUGAAAAGAGGGUUAAACAGCACGUGAAAUUGUUGAAAGGGAAGCGCCUGUGGCCAGACUUGCUGCCCGCGGUUCACCUGGCGCCCCCGCGCCGGGGCACGCCGCGGGUGCGCAGGCCAGCAUCGGCUUCCCCAGGGGGACAAAGGCCGCGGGAACGUAGCUCCUCCGGGAGUGUUAUAGCCCGCGGUGCCAUGCCUCUGGGGGGGCCGAGGAACGCGCCCUUCGGGGCAAGGAUGCUGGCGUAAUGGCCACCAGCGACCCGUCUUGAAACACGGACCAAGGAGUCAAGCAUUGGGGCGAGUGUUUGGGUGUCAAACCCGCACGCGAAAUGAAAGUGAACGCAGGUGGGAGCCCCUCGCGGGCGCACCACCGACCGAUCCUGAUGUCCUCGGAUGGAUUUGAGUAGGAGCCUUACCGCUUGGACCCGAAAGA